GCCUCAUGAAGCGUGCUUCGAAAUCGCCCAUCACUAUUAGAUGUAAUUUUAGCUCUACAUUUUUUAACUAAUAAGUUUAUUUAUUUGUGACUUGCAGUCACGUGAUUGUUUGAACAAAACGCUGUUUGAUAGUAUCUUGGCGCGUGUAAAAUUAAGAUCGUUCAAUAUUUUGGAUUUGUUUUACUUCUAGGUGGAUGAAUGAAGAAUGUCCAGCUGUUAACACACUGGUGUUUGAUGUCGCACAAUAUACCACAGUACCUUGAUUCAAAUGGAUGAUUGCGUUGAUUGCAAUUCAGGACUGAAGAUUUCUCUCUGAAAGAGGAAUAAAAGUGGUCGAACCAUACAUCUGUAUCAUCCUAGAGCAGGAUGGGUCCUUUUUAAAGAUCUAGUCUUCAACUUUUCUCCUGGGGAUCCACUGCCCUGCAGAGUUCAGCUCCAACCCUGCUCUUAUUACAUGCAAACUACACUAUAUUGCCAAAAGUUUUGCGACACCCCUCCAAAUCAUUGAAUGCAGGUGUUUCAAUCACUUUUAUGGCCUCACCUAAGCAUGCAGACAGCUUAUACAAACAUUUGUGAAGAAUGGGUCGUUCUCAGGAGCUCAGUGAAUUCAAGCGUGGUACAGUGAUAGGUUGCCACCUGUGCAAUAAGUCCAUACAUGAAAUUUCUGCACUACUGAACAUCACCAAGGUCAAUGCAAAGAUGCAGAAUCACCGUUAAAAAGAGGGAAGUGAACUGCAGCAAAUAGAGGAAAUUGAUCUAGGUGGCAUCAGGGACUUUCAGUUGGACGUGGAGUGUUCAGCAGACACAGAAAAUGGAUCUCCAUAUCCAGCAUCUAAUAGAGCGGCAUCAUCUUCUCAAGAGGACUCAUUAGUUGCUUUUGCACAAUUGGGCCAGUGUGAGCCAGGGCUUUAAAUGGGCCUCACGGAGCCAAUAGCCUCCGAUCUUCAGCCUGGAAGCCAAAAUAAAACUCCUUUGGACUGUCAGGCCAAUAGCGUGGCAGUGCUUCAGUAAACUCCACCCUUAAUACGCCUACCUGGAUAUAAAGUCGCACAAUCACAGUUUCACCGUGAGGAGGAAGUCCGUUCAAUCUGACAGGAGUUAGAUUGCAUCAUCAAACAUAAUGGAAAGAACUGAGGCGGCUGUUUGCACGGUGAAGGAACACCUUUACAAUUAAAGUGCAAUAGCAAAAACAUUUAGGUAGAUACAUAUGUCAUCUUAGUUCAGAUCAUCCUAUCACACCACAACAUUUGAAUAUGGCAAAAACUGUGGAUUCAGAAGAUCAUCCUUUUCUUAAACACUAACAAUGGUCAUGCUGCAAAACUUUAAGUUAGGACCUAUCAAGUAUUUAAGACAAAACUCUGCCAUUAUCAGAUAACAGACCUGUUAAAUAACAAAACAUCAAAUGAACAACAUGGUAGCUUAUUUACAUUGCCCUGCCCUUCUGUAUAUCCUUAGUUUAUUUGUGUCCAUCCUUCCUGUAUGACCUUUAAGUUUAAAAACCAAAAGCUGCUUAAAGUUGGCAGAGUUCAUCCUGACUCGCUUUUCAGUGAAUAGUAGUCCAGCACAGCUAAAGAGAAUGUCACAGGGGGCUGAGGCAGAAAGGCCGGUGUUGAGUUUAAAGGAACAUGCCCACAUUU